UGGGGAAUUUUCCGCAAUGGGCGAAAGCCUGACGGAGCAAGACCGCGUGGGGGAAGAAGGCUCUUGGGUUGUAAACCCCUUUUCUCUGGGAAGAACAAAAUGACGGUACCAGAGGAAUCAGCAUCGGCUAACUCCGUGCCAGCAGCCGCGGUAAGACGGAGGAUGCAAGCGUUAUCCGGAAUGAUUGGGCGUAAAGCGUCCGCAGGUGGCAGUUCAAGUCUGCUGUCAAAGACCGGGGCUUAACCUCGGAAAGGCAGUGGAAACUGAACAGCUAGAGUAUGGUAGGGGCAAAGGGAAUUCCUGGUGUAGCGGUGAAAUGCGUAGAGAUCAGGAAGAACAUCGGUGGCGAAGGCGCUUUGCUGGACCAUAACUGACACUCAGGGACGAAAGCUAGGGGAGCGAAUGGGAUUAGAUACCCCAGUAGUC
rnacentral:rRNA from 1 species